rnacentral:rRNA from 1 species
UGUGGAAUUGCAGAUUUUCGUGAAUCAUCGAAUCUUUGAACGCACAUUGCGCCCUGUAGUAUUCUACAGGGCAUGCCUGUUUGAGCGUCAUUUCUCUCUCAAAACCUCGGUUUUGGUUGUGAACGGUAAGCCUUUUGGCUUUCGUUUGAAAUGAAUUGACCGGCUGGCUUUCAAUGGCUUGUUAUGUUUAUUCAAUGUAUUAGGUUCUUCCAACUCGUUGAUUGACACGACAAAAUCCAGGAAAGAUUCGGCUUGUCGAACUUUACCAUAAAGUUUGACCUCAAAUCAGGUAGGAUUACCCGCUGAACUUAAGCAUAUCAAUAAGCGGAGGAAAAGAAACCAACAGGGAUUGCCUUAGUAACGGCGAGUGAAGCGGCAAGAGCUCAAAUUUGAAAUCUGGUACCUUCGGUGCCCGAGUUGUAAUUGAAGAAGGUAUACUUUAGUUGGCCCCCGUCUAUGUUCCUUGGAACAGGACGUCAUAGAGGGUGAGAAUCCCGUGCGAU